rnacentral:rRNA from 1 species
UACGUAGGGCGCAAGCGUUGUCCGGAAUUAUUGGGCGUAAAGAGCUCGUAGGCGGCUUGUCACGUCUGCUGUGAAAUCCCGGGGCUCAACCCGGGCGUGCAGUGGAUACGGGCUGGCUAGAGGCAGGCAGGGGGAGAACGGAAUUCCCGGUGUAGCGGUGAAAUGCGCAGAUAUCGGGAGGAACACCGGUGGCGAAGGCGGUUCUCUGGGCCUGUACUGACGCUGAGGAGCGAAAGCGUGGGGAGCGAACAGG